UACACUCUUUCCCUACAUGUAGCUCUUCUAGCUCUUUUAGCUCGACAAUGCUCUGAGGUAACUCCCUCAUAGGAGAACACGAAAUUUUGAUGACUUUCAAUCUGCUCAAGCCUCCAAUAGAUUCGGGUAACCACUCAAUUUCUGUAUGCGAGACAUC